rnacentral:rRNA from 1 species
AUUGAACGCUGGCGGCAGGCCUAACACAUGCAAGUCGGACGGUAGCACAGAGAGCUUGCUCUCGGGUGACGAGUGGCGGACGGGUGAGUAAUGUCUGGGGAUCUGCCCGAUAGAGGGGGAUAACCACUGGAAACGGUGGCUAAUACCGCAUAACGUCGCAAGACCAAAGAGGGGGACCUUCGGGCCUCUCACUAUCGGAUGAACCCAGAUGGGAUGGGCUAGUAGGCGGGGUAAUGGCCCACCUAGGCGGCGAUCCCUAGCUGGUCUGAGAGGAUGACCGCCCACACGGGAACCGGGGCACGGUCAAGACUCCUACGGGAGGCAGCAGUGGGGAAUAUUGCACAAUGGGCGCAAGCCUGAUGCAGCCAUGCGGCGUGUAUGAAGAAGGCCUUCGGGUUGUAAAGUACUUUCAGCGGGGAGGAAGGCGAUGCGGUUAAUAACCGUGUCGAUUGACGUUACCCGCAGAAGAAGCACCGGCUAACUCCGUGCCAGCAGCCGCCGUAA